GAACGCUAGCGGCAGGCCUAUAUUCAUGCAAGUCCGAACGGGAUCCAGGUGUUAGCUUGCUAACAUCUGGUGAGAGUGGCGCACGGGUGCGUAACGCGUGAGCAACCUACCCAUAUCAGGGGGAUAGCCCGAAGAAAUUCGGAUUAACACCGCAUAAGACUACGAGAUGGCAUCAUCAAGUAGUUAAAUAUUUAUAGGAUAUGGAUGGGCUCGCGUGACAUUAGCUAGUUGGUGAGGUAACGGCUCACCAAGGCGACGAUGUCUAGGGGCUCUGAGAGGAGAAUCCCCCACACUGGUACUGAGACACGGACCAGACUCCUACGGGAGGCAGCAGUAAGGAAUAUUGGUCAAUGGACGGAAGUCUGAACCAGCCAUGCCGCGUGCAGGAUGACUGCCCUAUGGGUUGUAAACUGCUUUUGUCGAGGAAUAAACCUAUCUACGUGUAGAUAGCUGAAUGUACUCGAAGAAUAAGGAUCGGCUAACUCCGUGCCAGCAGCCGCGGUAAUACGGAGGAUCCGAGCGUUAUCCGGAUUUAUUGGGUUUAAAGGGUGCGUAGGCGGCACUUUAAGUCAGGGGUGAAAGACGGCAGCUUAACUGUCGCAGUGCCUUUGAUACUGAAGUGCUUGAAUGCGGUUGAAGACGGCGGAAUGAGACAAGUAGCGGUGAAAUGCAUAGAUAUGUCUCAGAACACCGAUUGCGAAGGCAGCUGUCUAAGCCGUUAUUGACGCUGAUGCACGAAAGCGUGGGGAUCGAACAGGAUUAGAUACCCUGGUAGUCCACGCCCUAAACGAUGAUAACUCGAUGUUUGCGAUAUACCGUAAGCGUCCAAGCGAAAGCGUUAAGUUAUCCACCUGGGGAGUACGCCCGCAAGGGG
rnacentral:rRNA from 1 species